AGCAAGAGAGAACACAUCACCAGGCAGGUGCAGAGCACGCACCGCCUGCCAGAAUGGCCGUAUCGGCGCAAGCAGCUUCAACGACGGAUGCAACAUGAAAAUAACUGGCACCAAUUAUUAUAACACCUUAUUGGUCGUCGUUACUAUUGUUAAAAGGACUGCAGAGUUCAGCGAGUGCGGAGCAUAAAGAACCUUCGAGAAAUACAAGAACAUUUAGAAGAAUUGAAGUUUCAUUUUAAAAUAUCUGGAACUUACUGAAACAA